CAGUCGAGCGGAACGAGUUAUCUGAACCUUCGGGGGACGAUAACGGCGUCGAGCGGCGGACGGGUGAGUAAUGCCUAGGAAAUUGCCCUGAUGUGGGGGAUAACCAUUGGAAACGAUGGCUAAUACCGCAUGAUGCCUACGGGCCAAAGAGGGGGACCUUCGGGCCUCUCGCGUCAGGAUAUGCCUAGGUGGGAUUAGCUAGUUGGUGAGGUAAGGGCUCACCAAGGCGACGAUCCCUAGCUGGUCUGAGAGGAUGAUCAGCCACACUGGAACUGAGACACGGUCCAGACUCCUACGGGAGGCAGCAGUGGGGAAUAUUGCACAAUGGGCGCAAGCCUGAUGCAGCCAUGCCGCGUGUAUGAAGAAGGCCUUCGGGUUGUAAAGUACUUUCAGUCGUGAGGAAGGCGUUGUCGUUAAUAGCUGCAUCGUUUGACGUUAGCGACAGAAGAAGCACCGGCUAACUCCGUGCCAGC
rnacentral:rRNA from 1 species